rnacentral:rRNA from 1 species
GACGAACGCUGGCGGCGUGCUUAACACAUGCAAGUCGAACGGACAGGCCCUGCUUUUGUGGGGCUCUUGAGUGGCGAACGGGUGAGUAACACGUGAGUAACCUGCCCUUGACUUUGGGAUAACUUCAGGAAACUGGGGCUCAUACCCGAUAUGAGCUCCUGCUGCAUGUUGGGCGUUGGAAAGUUUCGGCGGUUGGGGAUCGGCUCGCGGCUUCUCAGCCUCUUGGGCGGGUAGGGGAUUACCAAGCCUUUGAAGGGUAGCCGGCCUGAGAGCGUUACCGGCCACAAUGGGACUGAGAGACGCACCAGACUCCUACGGGACGCAGUAGUGGAGAGUAUUGCAGAAUGGGCGGGAGUCAGAUGCAGCAACGCAGCGAGCGGGAUAACGGGCUACGGGUUGUAAACCGCUUUGGCCUGUGACGAACCGGGAGUGACGGUAAUGGGUAAAGAAGCAACGGCUAACUACGUG